rnacentral:ncRNA from 1 species
CUAGAUCGCCGUGGGAGCGAUCCCGGACGACGGUUCAGUACCCGGUGCGCGACAAGACUGGCCAGG